ACAUAUUGGUGCUUUCCUGUUCUGCUUCUAAUAGAGGUUUUUAAACCUCAACUUUAUUACUGAAAAACCCACUGCUGUUAACUAGCAAGAAGAAAAAGAAAAGAUGGCCAUCAGGUGUGUCUUAGGCUAAGAGCAUAAAAACAACAAGAUGAAAGUGACAAUUCCUAGCUCCCUUUGUUCAUUUCAAAUGUACAAAAUUUAGCUAGUCUCUCAAGAAUCAAUAAAGAUGAGGUUAAGUUCUGUGGACUCUUAACUUUGUCAGGUUCACAGCUGGCUGCUACAGGAAGCAGAGAAGGUCGGCAAGUCAAGUGGUUCAGAGCCUGGAGCAGAUAACUCUCCCGUCCUCCCUGAUUUCCACACACUUGAAACAGAUGUCCUGCCAUUGUGCUAGGAGUCAGGCAGCAACAGAGCCACGUGACCCACGGGAAGGCAACUGGCCUAUCUUUUUCCCACAAAGAAGGGUCUAAUUCUCAAUGGAAUCACAAGAGGAACAGAAAUUCACUACCACAGAUCCAACACAGGACUUAGGAGCAAUCACUGCUUGCUGUGGAAAUAAAACUUUAUGGUUUAUGGAAGUUAGAAGUCAAGCACUAUACUGUUCAAAGGUGUACUCAUCAUCAGUUUCACCCCAACUCAGUGAUCAUCUCGUGACUGCCAACCCCAGUUCAGCAUCCAAAGACCCUGCUGGGAAACCCUGCACCCCUGGCCCUGGAGCUAACCCCAGUCUGCCCUCCAGAUCCAUCUCAGAGAUGGAAGGAAGUGGAGCAGAAGCAGAUGAAACUGACUGAGCAGCACUAGCCAAGCCUCUUCAGGAUGGGAGAGCACUCCUGGAGCUCCUGUUAAAACCAUGAUGCAGCCACUGGGCCCUAGGUAAGAUGAAUGACCCCAGCGGUCAGAUUCUUAGCACUCAUCGGUUUGCUCACCUACUAAAUACAACAGUGGAUUGGACCACCAAUUUGUUCUGACAGAAGAGUUCCAGAGUCAAAUAAGUAUGGGAAGACCUCCCCUCCUGAGGGAGUCACACUACAUCAUAAACUCUUUAAAGUUCU
rnacentral:lncRNA from 1 species